ACCGGCGGCCCGAGUGGUGGAUCGUGAUUAUUGGGUCUAAAGGGUCCGGUAGCCGGUUUGGUCAGUCCUCCGGGAAAUCUGAUAGCUCAACUAUUAGGCUUUCGGGGGAUACUGCCAGACUUGGAACCGGGAGAGGUAAGAGGUACUACAGGGGUAGGAGUGAAAUCUUGUAAUCCCUGUGGGACCACCUGUGGCGAAGGCGUCUUACCAGAACGGGUCCGACGGUGAGGGACGAAAGCUGGGGGCACGAACCGGAUUAGAUACCCGGGUAGUCCCAGCCGUAAACGAUGCUCGCUAGGUGUCAGGCAUGGCGCGACCGUGUCUGGUGCCGCAGGGAAGCCGUGAAGCGAGCCACCUGGGAAGUACGGCCGCAAGGCUGAAACUUAAAGGAAUUGGCGGGGGAGCACAACAACGGGUGGAGCCCUGCGGUUUAAUUGGACUCAACGCCGGACAACUCACCGGGGGCGACAGCGAUAUGUAGGCCAAGCUGAAGACUUUGCCUGAAUCGCUGAGAGAAGUGGUGCAUGG
rnacentral:rRNA from 1 species